AUUGAACGCUGGCGGCAUGCCUUACACAUGCAAGUCGAACGGUAACGGGCCUUCGGGUGCCGACGAGUGGCGAACGGGUGAGUAAUACAUCGGAACGUGCCCGAUCGUGGGGGAUAACGAGGCGAAAGCUUUGCUAAUACCGCAUACGAUCUACGGAUGAAAGCAGGGGACCGCAAGGCCUUGCGCGGACGGAGCGGCCGAUGGCAGAUUAGGUAGUUGGUGGGAUAAAAGCUUACCAAGCCGACGAUCUGUAGCUGGUCUGAGAGGAUGAUCAGCCACACUGGGACUGAGACACGGCCCAGACUCCUACGGGAGGCAGCUGUGGGGAAUUUUGGACAAUGGGCGCAAGCCUGAUCCAGCCAUGCCGCGUGCAGGAUGAAGGCCUUCGGGUUGUAAACUGCUUUUGUACGGAACGAAAAGCCUUCUUUUAAUACAGGAGGGUCAUGACGGUACCGUAAGAAUAAGCACCGGCUAACUACGUG
rnacentral:rRNA from 1 species